AAACAGGCUUUUUAUUUUUUAAAAGGGAAGCCACAAAAUAUAAAAAAAAUAUAAUUCU
rfam:Callipepla squamata strain Texas jcf7180005233847, whole genome shotgun sequence.